GACGAACCGUGCAAACGUUGUUCGGAAUCACUGGGCUUAAAGGGCGCGUAGGCGGCUGACCAAGUCCGGGGUGAAAUCCUGCAGCUUAACUGUAGAAGUGCCUUGGAUACUGGUUGGCUCGAGGGAGAUAGGGGUCUGUGGAACUGCUGGUGGAGCGGUGAAAUGCGUUGAUAUCAGCAGGAACGCCGGUGGCGAAAGCGACGGACUGGAUCUUUUCUGACGCUGAGGCGCGAAAGCUAGGGGAGCAAACGGG
rnacentral:rRNA from 1 species